UACGAAGGGGGCUAGCGUUGCUCGGAAUGACUGGGCGUAAAGGGCGCGUAGGCGGUUCGUACAGUCAGACGUGAAAUUCCCGGGCUCAACCUGGGGGCUGCGUUUGAGACGUGCGAUCUUGAGUGGGGAAGAGGGUCGUGGAAUUCCCAGUGUAGAGGUGAAAUUCGUAGAUAUUGGGAAGAACACCGGUGGCGAAGGCGGCGACCUGGUCCUUGACUGACGCUGAGGCGCGAAAGCGUGGGGAGCAAACAGG
rnacentral:rRNA from 1 species